rnacentral:lncRNA from 1 species
CUGGGUUUGGGAUACACAUUUUUCAUAGACUUGCUGGAAAUCAAAAUCAUAUAAGAUUGCAGGAAAGACAACUAGAACUUCAACUUUUUAAGAGAAAAUAUUAAGGACAGUCAAACAUCUUGCACAAGGCAGUAAUAAAUUUGGACAUGUAUAUUCCCCGGCAUGACAUGAAAAGGGAAGUGGAUACCAGGAACCAGGGCCUCAUUCAUAAAUGCAGGAACAGUAAGUCCUGAGAGUGAGCUCUGUGAUACAGUCUUAAAUCACCAGAAAGUCAAAUAGUAUCAGAAUCAGUUUGAAAAAAUGUUGUAAGACACCUAUUGGCCACAUUUCACUCCUGUGAUCCAGUCUGAAAACCAAUUUCUACUACGACACCUCUGCCCACCAGGGGGAAGCACACCAGCCAAAAGCAGGCUUCCCAUUUCAAAACAGAACGAAAGGUUCUAUUUCCAAAUAGAAUGAAACGGAUUAGAUUUUAGGAAAUAAUCUAGCCCAGCCCCCGCCAUCAGAAAGGCAAAGCUUUAUUCUUCGUAUUUUUAAAUUGAGGUAGCAGAAGACCAGAGACAUACCCAAGGUCACAGACCAAAUAACUGGUAAGCAGAAACACUUGAAAAAAAAAGGAAUCAUCCCUUUGUUUCAUAUUAUAUGUAACUACUCAACUAGAGUCUUUAGACAAUUGUCUUUUACUGUGUCACUUAAAAAGACUUCAAAACUAGACGCAGUGCUUGGGCAAAUAUUAGAGCGUUAACAAUAUUUUUUAAGUAAAAUUAAUGGAACUAAAUUUAAAAUCUGAUGAUGUGAUUCUGCUGAAAUGGUUUCAAAACAUCAUUUCUUUCUUUAAAAUAAGCAGAUGAAGAGUGUCAGACCUCUUUGUUUUCCUGUUGUCUGAAAAAUUACAGGGGAUGUCAUAUCUGCACUCCAGUAAGAUAGAAGUCCACGGGCGUCUGAAAUCCACUAGCUGUGUGGUGGACAGUAGAAUGGUGGUGAAGAUCACUAAUUUUGGCUGCAAUUCCAUUUUACCUCCAAGAAAAGGUCUGUAAUGAAUGAAAUUUGUCCUAGUUUCUCACUUUUUUUAAAAAAAAUUUUUUCACAAGCCCACACGAGGCGCUCAGAAAAUGAUGACACUGCAGAAAAUAAACAGCCACAAGAGGCAACAGCUGGCUCGUUUUCCAGCACUUCACCCUUGUCGCUUUUCAACAAGUGCUUCUUGAGUUGAACAAAUUUCCUCUGUGGCUUUCCUUCAUCUAUCUGUCUCUUGAUAUCAGUGAGAAACUAUGAAGAACUUGUUGGCUUGUGGAAGCAGACC